CCCUUAGAUGUUCUGGGCCGCACGCGCGCUACACUGAUGCAUUCAACGAGUCCAACCUUGACCGAGAGGUCCGGGUAAUCUUUGAAACUGCAUCGUGAUGGGGCUAGAUUAUUGCAAUUAUUAAUCUUCAACGAGGAAUGCCUAGUAAGCGCAAGUCAUCAGCUUGCGUUGAUUACGUCCCUGCCCUUUGUACACACCGCCCGUCGCUCCUACCGAUUGAAUGGUCCGGUGAAGCGUUUGGACUAUGGUUUUCUGAUGGUCCGCCGUUGGAUUACCGUGGGAAGUUCGUUAAACCUUAUCAUUUAGAGGAAGGAGAAGUCGUAACA
rnacentral:rRNA from 1 species